UACGUAGGGGGCUAGCGUUGUCCGGAAUCAUUGGGCGUAAAGCGCGCGUAGGCGGCCAGAUAAGUCCGGUGUGAAAGUCAGAGGCUCAACCUUUGAAUGCCGCUGGAAACUGUCUGGCUUGAGUCCGGAAGGGGCGAGUGGAAUUCCUGGUGUAGCGGUGAAAUGCGCAGAUAUCAGGAGGAACACCAAUGGCGAAGGCAGCUCGCUGGAACGGUACUGACGCUGAGGCGCGAAGGUCAGGGGAGCAAACGGG
rnacentral:rRNA from 1 species